rnacentral:rRNA from 1 species
UACAGAGGUCUCGAGCGUUGUUCGGAUUCAUUGGGCGUAAAGGGUGCGUAGGUGGCACUGUAAGUCGGGUGUGAAAUCCUGAGGCUUAACCUCGGAACUGCAUUCGAUACUGCGGUGCUUGAGGACUGGAGAGGAGACUGGAAUUCAUGGUGUAGCAGUGAAAUGCGUAGAGAUCCGGAGGAACACCGAAGGCGAAGGCAGUGUCCUGGCUGGUGACUGACGCUGGAGGUGCGAAAGCGUGGGGAGCAAACAGG